AUCCCCUGUUGAAAUUAGAUAAUUCAAUGGAGGCUGAGGAAAUAUCUUCUAAUGUCUGGGAUAAUUAUCUUCUCUGCAUCUCUGAAAAUAAAGAAAAUUUAAACCAUAAGAAUGACAACAUUGUUUUAGGCGUAGUGUUUACAAGAUGACAGAAUACGAAUUGAAAGAAUGAAAAAUGAACAUUUUGAGUAUGGAAGUGCUUUUAAGAUGAUUACAGAUUUCUAUAGCAGUCAAAUACUUGAUGGCACAGGUUCUCAAGCAUUGUCCCAGAUUUUAAAGUUCGAUAAAUCGGUGUUGUGCUCCUUGGCUGCUGUAAUCUUGUACCUUAAAGAAUUUAAUUUAGAGAAGAUACUCUAUAACCCCAGGUAAAUAGUUUUAAUUUUAGAUACUAAAACCGUUGUUACAUUGAUUUACAUACUACAGGAAAUAUUGUUUCACAAAAUAAGUGCACUAUAAUUGUGAUAUCCAAGUUAUCAUGAAAACUAUAUUAGAGAAGUAGAAAAAAUUUAAAGCUAUGUUUCCAGCUAAUGGUAUCAGCAAUUCAAUUUAGUUCUACACAAUGUAUACCUAUAUACCUAUAUCAAUAUCUUCUUCAGUGCAAUCUGUAAAUUAUUGUUACAGAUUCAUGACAACAAUGUUACUAACAAAUCAUUUCUGAAAACGCAGCCUAGAAAACUGCUUGAACUUGACUGUUUAGUUGGCAGUAGUCAAGAAUGACUCAAAGGCACUCAUAUGCCCAAUUUAAAAUCUUCAUUCUCAAUCCAAUAGUAUGUCAGAAAAAAGCAACGAUAAAAAGCAUAUUAAGAAGUAGCAACAACAAAAGCAACAUUAUAAUAGAGGAAUAAAAGUAUCACUAAAUUGAUACCUUAAAAAUAAUAUUACUAAGUAGGUGAUAGGAUAAAUGUUCAGCCAAUCUGCUGAAGUGAAAUAAAAGCACAAGAUAUUUUACUGUGCAGAUUGUAAUAAACAGUUUGGUAGGAAAACAAAAGAUCUACAGACUUAAAUAAGUUUUGAAAAAUAGCCAGAUGAAUCUGUUGCUUCUAAUGGUACAGAAUUCAAGUGACAUAUGUGCUGGCAAUACCUUAAAUUCAUCUUUCUUUUGUUGUUUCUUCUUAAGGCAGCUAUGAAAAAGACUUAAUUUCUUCUAAUUAUUUCAGAUUUUCAAAUUUAGCUGAAUGAAAGCUCCUGAUUUAGACAAUUUUCCAAAGUCCCAAGAACAGGAAAAACUAUUGAUUAUUAAAGGACUUCCUGUUAAUAUACCUUUGGUGAACCAGACAUUUCUAAGUUCUGGAAGAAUCUUAAGACGUCCUCAGGGCAGUCUUCUUCCUUUACUCUUCAGUUGUAAGUUUACUAGCUUUGCCUUUUAAUUCUUGAUUUCUGAUUUUAGAUUCACACCGUCUUUGGCCUAGCAUGAAGAAAAUUGAUUAGAAAUCAGUUGUCUUCAAUCCCAUAUGAAAUAAAUUAGCUCAGUU